GGAGACAUCUGGCCAUUGGUACUCAUUUCUGUUCUGGGUCGAAGGGACCUCACCUUCUUUUCCACCAGCCAUGAGACAGGAAGGCCUCAACUGGUAUCCCUGAAAGGGGGAGAGUUGGACUCUUGCCACAAGUCAGGUGAAGGCAUUCUCAUCUCCUCAGAGGCUUCAGAGCUUCUCCAUUUCAUAGACAACCAGGGCCCAGUGCACGUGAUCCAGAAAUAUCUUGAGCACCCUCUGCUGCUUGAGCCAGGUCAUCGCAAGUUUGACAUUCGAUAAAGAAAUGGGGGCUCAGAGCAGUCAAGAACAUGCCCCAAGUUAUUCGUCAGUGAGGCAGAAAUUGUGGUGUCCUUGUGUAAGUUCACAGUUUAUACUUUACCAUUAUACUGUGCUCCAAAUUAUCUGAUAUUUACUUUCAAAGCAUGUGUAGGAAGUUUACUAUGAUGAUGCAGAGACAUUGUACAGAAUCCAGUCCCUUGACUCUCAGGUCCCCAGAACACUCACUUCACGAUUUUGUUGACCUCUUAUGUCAACUUAAACCUGGCACUCUCUUGGCUUUCUCUGCUCUUUCUGGGCACUCCAAAGCUUCUGUACUUACAUGCUACAACUCCAGUCACAGGAAGAUGCUGAGUUCUUUAGUCCCAGAUCCAUAUUCCUGAGAAAACCUAAUUGCCUAGGCUCAGGUCAUAACUCUGUGUCUGUUUCAGUUGAUUAUGGCUGGGCCUACUGCCCCUCUGUAUGGUGGUGGGGCAGAAGUUCCCAGAGAGAGGCAGGGGUGACAGAGACUGUUGUCUCAAAUGCUAGGCAGACAUCUGGAGUGGUAACCACUACAUCUGUUCACAGUGAGCACAUCCUUGCAGGGAAACUGGGUUAAUCAUCUCUAUUAUUGAAACUCAGAGGUAUAGUGUUUCUUCAUAGGAAUUUUCUUUCCUUAUUUGAGAUGGGGGUCUCACUUUGUUGCCCAGGCUGGAGUGCAGUGGUGUGUGAU
rnacentral:lncRNA from 1 species